rnacentral:rRNA from 1 species
GGUGUGAAUUAUGUUUUUUACCAUUUUAGUUAUUUGGGCAUACCGAUUCACCACCAUAAGUUAUCUAAUAAAGAAUGGAAGUGUAUUGAAGAUCGAAUUGAGAAAAAGCUGAGCUGCUGGAAGGGUAAGCUUAUGUCUUAUGGAGGUCGGUUAGUGCUGAUUAAUUCGGUAUUGACUAGUAUGAUGAUGUUCCUAUUAUCGUUCUUCAAAAUUCCGAAAGGGGUACGGAAGCGACUUGAUUUCUUUAGAUCCCGGUUCUUCUGGCAGUCAGACGAGGCCAAGAGGAAAUACCGACUCGCGCGAUGGGAUAUCCUUUGCCGACCAAAAGACCAGGGUAGUCUUGGUAUUGAAAACUUAGAAAUCAUGAAUAAAUGCCUUAUGAGUAAAUGA